AUCCCAUGAUGAGGACAUAUAUGAAGUAACUCAUUGAAUCUGUCUCACGCCUCGUAUAUAGACUCAUCAUCCAUCUGCUAAAAAGUGGUGAUCUCAUUCCACAACUU
rfam:Gossypium hirsutum cultivar TM-1 chromosome 4, whole genome shotgun sequence